rnacentral:sRNA from 1 species
AUGAAAGAUUCGAACCUGCAGCAGGUUCGGGUCGAACGUAGUGAGACAACGGAGCCGUUUACGGCGCCGACCCGAAGGGCGAGCGAAGCGAGUCAUCCUGCACGCCCCACCA